rnacentral:rRNA from 1 species
AUUGAACGCUGGCGGCAGGCCUAACACAUGCAAGUCGAGCGGUAGAGAGAAGCUUGCUUCUCUUGAGAGCGGCGGACGGGUGAGUAAUGCCUAGGAAUCUGCCUGGUAGUGGGGGAUAACGUUCGGAAACGGACGCUAAUACCGCAUGCGUCCUACGGGAGAAAGCAGGGGACCUUCGGGCCUUGCGCUAUCAGAUGAGCCUAGGUCGGAUUAGCUAGUUGGUGAGGUAAUGGCUCACCAAGGCGACGAUCCGUAACUGGUCUGAGAGGAUGAUCAGUCACACUGGAACUGAGACACGGUCCAGACUCCUACGGGAGGCAGCAGUGGGGAAUAUUGGACAAUGGGCGAAAGCCUGAUCCAGCCAUGCCGCGUGUGUGAAGAAGGUCUUCGGAUUGUAAAGCACUUUAAGUUGGGAGGAGGGGUUGUAGAUUAAUACUCUGCAAUUUUGACGUUACCGACAGAAUAAGCACCGGCUAACUCUGUGCCAGCCGCCGCCGUAA